rnacentral:tRNA from 1 species
UGGGGCUUAAGUUAAAAAAACUCUGAGUUUUCAAAACUUGUAAUAAGGGUAAAAUCCCUUAGCCCUGA